rnacentral:rRNA from 1 species
AUUGAACGCUGGCGGCAUGCCUUACACAUGCAAGUCGAACGGUAACAGGUCUUCGGAUGCUGACGAGUGGCGAACGGGUGAGUAAUACAUCGGAACGUGCCCGAUCGUGGGGGAUAACGGAGCGAAAGCUUUGCUAAUACCGCAUACGAUCUACGGAUGAAAGCAGGGGACCGCAAGGCCUUGCGCGGACGGAGCGGCCGAUGGCAGAUAAGGUAGUUGGUGGGAUAAAAGCUUACCAAGCCGACGAUCUGUAGCUGGUCUGAGAGGACGACCAGACACAGUGGGAACGAGACACGGCCCAGACUCCUACGGGAGGCAGCAGUGGGGAAUUUUGGACAAUGGGCGAAAGCCUGAUCCAGCCAUGCCGCGUGCAGGAUGAAGGCCUUCGGGUUGUAAACUGCUUUUGUACGGAACGAAAAGCCUCUUUCUAAUAAAGAGAGGUCAUGACGGUACCGUAAGAAUAAGCACCGGCUAACUACGUGCCAGCCGCCGCCGUAACAC